rnacentral:rRNA from 1 species
AUUGAACGCUGGCGGCAGGCCUAACACAUGCAAGUCGAGCGGCAGCGGAAAGUAGCUUGCUACUUUGCCGGCGAGCGGCGGACGGGUGAGUAAUGUCUGGGAAACUGCCUGAUGGAGGGGGAUAACUACUGGAAACGGUAGCUAAUACCGCAUAACGUCGCAAGACCAAAGAGGGGGACCUUCGGGCCUCUUGCCAUCAGAUGUGCCCAGAUGGGAUUAGCUAGUAGGUGGGGUAAUGGCUCACCUAGGCGACGAUCCCUAGCUGGUCUGAGAGGAUGACCAGCCACGCUGGAACUGAGGCACGGUCCAGACUCCUACGGGAGGCAGCAGUGGGGGAUAUUGCACAAUGGGCGCAAGCCUGAUGCAGCCAUGCCGGGUGUAUGAAGAAGGCCUUCGGGUUGUAAAGUACUUUCAGCGGGGAGGAAGGUGCUGAGGUUAAUAACCUCAGCAAUUGACGUUACCCGCAGAAGAAGCACCGGCUAACUCCGUGCCAGCCGCCGCCGUAACAC